GAUGAACGCUGGCGGCGUGCCUAAUACAUGCAAGUCGAGCGAACAGACGAUGAGCUUGCUCCGCUGACGUUAGCGGCGGACGGGUGAGUAACACGUGGAUAACCUACCUAUAAGACUGGUAUAACUUCGGGAAACCGGAGCUAAUACCGUAUGAUAUAUUGCACCGCAUGGUUCAUUAGUGAAAGACGGCGUUGCUGUCACUUAUAGAUGGAUCUGCGCCGCAUUAGCUAGUUGGUAAGUUAACGGCUUACCAAGGCAAGGAUGCGUAGCCGCAAGGCUGGGGUGAGUGGCCACACUGGAAGUGAGACCGGGUCCAGAGUCCCAGAGGUAGGACCAGUAGGGAAACUUCCGGAAUGGGCGAAAAACUGACGGAGCAACGCCGAGUGAUUGAUGAACGUCGUCGGAUCCUAAAACUCUGUUAUUAGGGAAGAACCAGUGUGCAAGUAUCAAUGCACGUCAUGACGGUAAAUAAUCAGAGAAGCACCGCUUAAUUAGGU
rnacentral:rRNA from 1 species